rnacentral:lncRNA from 1 species
UUUCUUGCUAAAUUGGAAUGCAAACUAUUUUAGUUGCUAAAGAUGAGGAAAUUAAAAUAUUUUAAAAAGCCACCACACCUGGCCCAAAAUCAUAUAUUGAAGCUUUACCCCCCAGUACCUCAGAAUAUGACUAUAUUUGAUGAAAGGGGCUUGAGAGAAGUGAUGAAGUUAAUCAUGUCUUUGAUCUUGGAUUUCCAGCCUGCAGAACUGUGAGAAAAUAAAUUUCUGUUAUUUAAGCCAGCUAGUCUGUGGUAUUUUGUUAUGUCAGACCUAGCAAACUAAUAGAUGCCCCAAGGUGACAAUUCUGGAAACGUUAAACUGGUCAAUUUACAGCGGAUUAAAGUGUACACCAAGUGUCAGUUUAAUAAUUUACAUUGGGAUUAUUUACUGGGAUUCCAGGCGUGAGCCACUGCACUCGGCCCAAAAUUUAUAGGCUGGAUGUUCUAAAACUGUUAUGUUGCUACUCUUUCUGAAAAAUAUAUCUGUUUAGUGGUAGAAGGCUAAAAUUUCUUUGCUGUUUAACUUGAAGCUAAUUUGUUCUCUUUCAAGACACAUUUUAUUAAAGGAAGGUCAAGAGAAGAA